rnacentral:rRNA from 1 species
UCAGACGAUGCGUCAUGCAUAUCAAUAAGCGGAGGAAAAGAAACUAACAAGGAUUCCCUCAGUAACGGCGAGUGAAGCGGGAAGAGCUCAAAUUUGAAAUCUUGAAAGGUCACCUUUCACGAAUUGUAGUUUAAAGAAGUGUUUUCUGUUACGAUCGUAAUAUAAGUUCUUUGGAAUAGGACAUCACAGAGGGUGAGAAUCCCGUCUAUGAUUGCGAUUUGUGGCUUUGUGAUACACUUUCAAAGAGUCGGGUUGUUUGGGAAUGCAGCCCAAAACGGGAGGUAAAUUUCUUCUAAGGCUAAAUAUUGGCGAGAGACCGAUAGCGAACAAGUACCGUGAGGGAAAGAUGAAAAGAACUUUGAAAAGAGAGUUAAAUAGUACGUGAAAUUGUCAAAAGGGAAGCGUUUAACACCAGUGUUGUUUUCUGAAAAUCAACCUCUGUUAGCUUUAUGCAUGUUUGUUUAGACCUAAUCAGCUAUCUUGCAUGUUCUAUUGUUUGCAGUGGUGCACUCUUCAGUUUACAGGUCAACAUCAGUUUUUUUUACCGUAAAAAAGUUAAAGAAAGGUAGCUCAUGGCUCCGGUCGUGAGUGUUAUAGUCUUUUUCCUAUGCGGUAGGAGAGACUGAGGUCUGCAGUGUAGGCUAUUUGGCUAGAUACUCAGGUGCUAUGUGAUACCAUUUCAUAAACAACUUGUUGAUUAUGUUUUGUCUAUUGCAUACUCGCUUGUACUAUCAUACCUACGCUUAGGAUGUUGACUGAUAUGUAGUCGU